rnacentral:tRNA from 1 species
AUUCCCUUAGCUCAGUUGGUAGAGUAUUGACUUUUAAUCAAUAGGUCCGGGGUUCGAAUCCUCGAGGGAAUACCA